CCUCGGAUCAGGUAGGAAUACCCGCUGAACUUAAGCAUAUCAAUAAGCGGAGGAAAU
rnacentral:rRNA from 1 species